ACUCAAAGGAAUUGACGGGAGCCCGCACAAGCGGUGGAUUAUGUGGUUUAAUUCGAAGCAACGCGCAGAACCUUACCUAGGUUUGACAUCCUCUGACAACCGUAGAGAUACGGCUUUUGUAGCAAUACAACAGAGAGACAGGUGCUGCAUGGCUGUCGUCAGCUCGUGUGGUGGCAUGUCGGGUUAAGUCCCUCAACGAGCGCAACCCCUGUUUUUAGUUGCCAGCAUUAAGUUGGGCACUCUAGAAAGACUGCCGUGGUUAACACGGAGGAAGGCGGGGAUGACGUCAAGUCCUCAUGGCCCUUACACCUAGGGCGACACACGUAAUACAAUGGUCGAUACAAAGGGAUGCGAACUCGCGAGAGGGAGCAAAUCUCAAAAAGUCGAUCUCAGUUCGGAUUGGAGUCUGCAACUCGACUCCAUGAAGGCGGAAUCGCUAGUAAUCGCGGAUCAGCACGCCGCGGUGAAUACGUUCCCGGGCUUUGCACACACCGCCCGU
rnacentral:rRNA from 1 species